ACCGUCCCGUUCCCGUACCACCAUUUACUCUUCCUCGCCUGAGCCGCCCGCGAGUCUCCGUUCCGUUCCGCCGACGCUUCAGUCUCCUCCCCUCCGCCCACCCGCGUCGCCGCCGUCGCCGUCCCCGUUCCUCCUCGCCGCGCCCCUGCCGUCUCCGCCCGCCCGCCCGUCCGCAGUCUCUGGAUUCGAGGGCUCGGCGCUCCCAUGGCGAAUCCCGAUGUACAUGUUGAGAGUAUGAUAGGAACCUCGGCGCUCUCAUAAACAGCAAUCCACUGUUGUUAGUUAUGUUUUCCAGUUUCGGCGCUGUUUAUUGUAAAUGCCUCGGCGCCCCCAUGGCGAAUCCCGACAAACAUGCCGAGGGUAUGAUGGGAGAGCAUGCUGAGAAGGAGUAUGCCGAUUUCGAGGCGAGGGUCAAGAGGACGAUAUACAUCGACCACCUCUCCCCUGUGGUCACUCGGCAGGUUAUCCGAGCGGCUCUUUCUCAGUGUGCUCAUGUUGUCAGCGUGGAGUUCGUUGAGAACUACACGAUCCCGUACGACAUCCCUGCCGCCGCGCUGGUGGAAUUGGACGACGAGUCGCAGGCCAGGUCUGCUGUGGACUUGAUGCGAGACUUCCCCUUCAUAAUCGGCGGAAUGCCCAGGCCUGUCCGGGCCAGCUUGGCAAGGCCCGAAAUGUUUCCUGAUCGUCCGAGCCCGCCCGGCUCGAAGAUGGAGUUCCUUUGGCUGAAACAAGGAGAUCCGGAGUAUGAUGGGAUGAGUAAACUGAAGAGCCUUGCAAAGAGGCAGGAAGCAGAGAACAUGGCGCUUAUCAAGGGGUGUCGGUGCCAUGGUGUAGUCUUGUCUGCAGUCUUGUGGGUAGCUUGAGAUAUAUGUCGGUCCUGAUUAUAUUCAAGCAGGAGGGAAGUUUUGAUCCCAGGAAUGGACUCAUUAUCAUGGCGAUUUUAUGGAAUAUUGGCAACACAGCAUUACAAGUGCCAUGUUUCCAACCUGACCCUGGUAUAGUUAAUUCAAGAGCAAUCCAAACAGAAAGUACAGGGGUUGUCCUGCACUGCUUUCUCCUGACGCCUCCCAUGCUCAUGGACAUAAAACCGGGAGAGUGAAAAUGCGAAGAAACAAUGGAGACUCCAAUGCUACUGGUCUCUUUCACUUACCCUUGCAUUUGGCCCUUUCUAUGCCCUUUCUUUUGUUUCACACUUUCAAGUUUAUAUACCGGGGAUGUAAAGAAUCAAGAAGGGUGGAGAGGUAGUUGGUCCAUUCAGUAGAGUAAGUGGUGCAUUGUUGUGCUUUGAUCAGAGUCACUGAAGAUGUCAUGAUUCAGGAAGGACAGAAAAAGCAAAAAUAAUAGUAUAUAUCGAGCUUUAUAAAGAGUGUCAUUUUGUAGUUUGUACUCAUGGCCUCCUUACUAACUGCAAUAACAAUUUCUCAACAGAUCUUCUAAAAUGGACAACAUAUCGAGCUUUACAGAGAAUAUGAUAAAAGUAUAGCAUCAGCUCCAGAACAACAAUAGAAAGAAAACACCUGAUACUCACUCAAAGAUCGGAAGUGUUCUUCUAAUCCAAAACUCCAUGCUGAUGAUAAAGUAUUGCAUCAGCUCCAGAACAACAAUAGAAGGAAAACACCUGAUACUCACUCAAAGAUCCGAAGUGUUCUUCUAAUCCAAAACUGUAUGCUGAUGAUAGAGUAUAGCAAAUUGUCAACUCAAUUGUCUGAUCAAGUGAACAGUACUAUAUAUCUGUAUCUGAACUCUGAAGCUUCUCUAGUAUUCUACAUGACAUCAUUUUUUUAUUGAUGCACGACUCUCAUGUAUACUUUACUAGACCAACUAUAUGGUGAUAGAAUAGGAUAUCCUGGUUUGUAGAACAACAAUGACUGACAAAAUUCAU